rnacentral:rRNA from 1 species
CGGAACGGCUGAGUAACACGUGGGCAACCUGCCCUCCCUCUUGGGGAUAGCCUCGGAAAACCGAGGAUAAUACCCGAUACUUCACUUGAGCCGCAUGACUCAAGUGAGAAAGCUUUUGCGGAGAAGGAUGGGCCCGCGGCCUGUUAGCUUGUUGGUGGGGUAGAGGCCUACCAAGGCAAUGAUGGGUAGCUGGGUUGAGAGACCGACCAGCCAGAUUGGGACUGAGACACGGCCCAG